CUACGGGUUGCUGCAGUGGGGAAUAUUGCACAAUGGGCGCAAGCCUGAUGCAGCCAUGCCGCGUGUAUGAAGAAGGCCUUCGGGUUGUAAAGUACUUUCAGCGGGGAGGAAGGGAGUAAAGUUAAUACCUUUGCUCACUGACGUUACCCGCAGAAGAAGCACCGGCUAACUCCGUGCCAGCAGCCGCGGUAAUACGGAGGGUGCAAGCGUUAAUCGGAAUUACUGGGCGUAAAGCGCACGCAGGCGGUUUGUUAAGUCAGAUGUGAAAUCCCCGGGCUCAACCUGGGAACUGCAUCUGAUACUGGCAAGCUUGAGUCUCGUAGAGGGGGGUAGAAUUCCAGGUGUAGCGGUGAAAUGCGUAGAGAUCUGGAGGAAUACCGGUGGCGAAGGCGGCCCCCUGGACGAAGACUGACGCUCAGGUGCGAAAGCGUGGGGAGCAAACAGGAUAGAUACCCUAGUAGUC
rnacentral:rRNA from 1 species